CAUGCAUGUCUAAGUACAUACCGUAUUAAGGUGAAACCGCGAAUGGCUCAUUAAAUCAGUUAUGAUUCAUUGGAUGUUGACCAAUUACAUGGAUAACUGUGGUAAUUCUAGAGCUAAUACAUGCCGAAAAGCCUCAUCGUAAGGUGAGGUGCAUUUAUUAGACCAAGACCAAAGGUGGCAACACCUAAUGGUGGUGACUCUGAAUAACUGCAGCUGAUCGCAUGGCCUUGUGCCGGCGACAUAUCCUUCGAGUGUCUGCCUUAUCAACUUUCGAUGGUAGGUUAUAUGCCUACCAUGGUUGUAACGGGUAACGGAGAAUCAGGGUUCGAUUCCGGAGAGGCAGCCUGAGAGACGGCUACCACAUCCAAGGAAGGCAGCAGGCGCGCAAAUUACCCAAUAUCAGAACGAUGAGGUAGUGACGAAAAAUAACAAUACGGGCUUUGCUUACGCGUUCUCGUAAUUGGAAUGAGUACAGUUUAAAUCCUUUAACGAGGAUCAAUUGGAGGGCAAGUCUGGUGCCAGCAGCCGCGGUAAUUCCAGCUCCAAUAGCGUAUAUUAAAGUUGUUGUGGUUAAAAAGCUCGUAGUUGGAUCUCAGCUCAUGUACAGCGGUCCAUCUUGUCGGUGGUUACUGUUGUACUGAGCAUUAUACCGUAUUGUCCUGUGGUGUUCUUAGCUGAGUGCUGCAGGCGAUCGGUACGUUUACUUUGAAAAAAUUAGAGUGCUCAAAGCAGGCAUUAUCGCCUGAAUACUGUUGCAUGGAAUAAUGGAAUAGGACCUUGGUUCUGUUCUGUUGGUCUUUGGAAUCGAGGUAAUGAUUAACAGGGACGGACGGGGACAUUAGUACUGCGGCGAUAGAGGUGAAAUUCUUGGACCGCCGCAUGACUAACAAAAGCGAAAGCAUUUGUCAAGAAUGUUUUCAUUAAUCAAGAACGAA
rnacentral:rRNA from 1 species